UGCAAACGCACGGAUUUUAAGCGCGAGCCUCCAAUGAUUUAUUGUAAUUUAUGCGAAGUUAACAAUGAACAUCUAUCGUGGGAAAGGUCGUUGUUGUUGAGAAUAACAUCAUAAAGGAGAUUCUUUUUAUUUUGAAAUUGAAUGGAAGAUAUUUUGGAGACUACUGAAUAGGGAUAUGGAACAUGAUUGCAAGGAUGGCGAUUCGCGAGACAAUGGAAACGAGGUCGUAGAAGAAGGAUGUUGCAUCGACGACGUAGAAUCUCUCGAUGA